GUGCUCACUUCAGCGGUACAUGUACUAAAAUUGGAAUGUUACAGAGGAGAUUAGCAUGGCCCCUGUGCAAGCAUGCCACACAAAUUUAUGAAGUAUUAUAUAUUUUU
ensembl:snRNA U6 U6 spliceosomal RNA